rnacentral:rRNA from 1 species
AUACGGAGGACGCGAGCGUUAUCCGGAUUCAUUGGGUUUAAAGGGUGCGCAGGCGGCCGUGCAAGUCAGCGGUGAAAGCCCGGGGCUCAACCCCGGAAGUGCCGUUGAUACUGCAUGGCUGGAAUGCGGUCGAGGCGGGCGGAACGGGGGGUGUAGCGGGGAAAUGCGUAGAUAUGCCACAGAACGCCGAUAGCGGAGGCAGCUCGCCAGGCCUGCAUUGACGCUCGGGCACGAAAGCGUGGGGAUCGAACAGGAUUAGAUACCCUGGUAGUCCACGCCGUAAACGAUGGGCGCUCGUCGUCGGCGGCAGACAGUCGGCGGCCAAGCGAAAGCGAUAAGCGCCCCACCUGGGGAGUACGGUCGCAAGGCUGAAACUCAAAUGAAUUGGCGGGG